rnacentral:rRNA from 1 species
UACGUAGGGAGCGAGCGUUAUCCGGAAUUAUUGGGUGUAAAGGGUGCGUAGACGGGAAUACAAGUUAGUUGUGAAAUCCCUCGGCUUAACUGAGGAACUGCAACUAAAACUGAAUUUCUUGAGUGCGGGAGAGGAAAGUGGAAUUCCUAGUGUAGCGGUGAAAUGCGUAGAUAUUAGGAGGAACACCAGUGGCGAAGGCGACUUUCUGGACCGUAACUGACGUUGAGGCACGAAAGUGUGGGGAGCAAACAGG